GGUGGACAUGCUUCCAAACAUAGUAUCCAACAUUUAGGACCCAAAUUUAUGAUACAUCUAUAGGAAGCAAAACUGUGAUAACCAGUGUGUCACAAACAGAUAAUGCCUUGCAUUCAUUAUGGUUGGUACUUGAGCUUAUUUGCAAAUAUAGCAAAAAAAUUCAAGGACAUGCAAAAGCAUGGAUUGAGAGAGCCUCUCAAGGUCAUGUUGGCAUGUCGGAUGCACUGUUAGGCAUCUAGUAG
rnacentral:misc_RNA from 1 species